rnacentral:rRNA from 1 species
GGAUUAGGCAUGCAAGUCGUGCGCGAAAGCCUUCGGGCGAGUAAAGCGGCGAACGGGUGAGUAACACGUAACCAACCUACCCCUGAGAUCGGAAUAACCACUGGAAACGGUGGGUAAUGCCGAAUGGUCCCCUUGGAGGGCAUCCUCCUUGGGGUAAACGGUGGCUCUGCUGCUGUUCAGGGAGGGGGUUGCGGCUUAUCAGCUUGUUGGUGGGGUAACGGCCUACCAAGGCGAUGACGGGUAGCCGGUCUGAGAGGACGAUCGGCCACACUGGGACUGGGACACUGCCCAGACUCCUACGGGAGGCUGCAGUCGAGAAUCUUCCGCAAUGGGCGAAAGCCUGACGGAGCGACACCGCGUGCAGGAUGAAGGCCUUCGGGUUGUAAACUGCUGUCACGCCAUAGGAAUGCCACGUCGUUAAUAGCUGCGUGGUUGACCAAAGCGAAAGGAAGCACCGGCUAACUCCGUGCCAGCAGCCGCGGUAAGACGGAGGGUGCAAACGUUGUUCGGAAUCACUGGGCAUAAAGCGCACGUAGGCGGCUGGAUCAGUCAGGUGUGAAAGCCCCCGGCUCAACCGGGGAACUGCACCUGAUACUGUCCGGCUUGAGGAUGGUUGGGGUGAGUGGAACUCCUGGUGGAGCGGUGAAAUGUGUAGAUAUCAGGAGGAACACCGGUGGCGAAAGCGGCUCACUGGACCAUGUCUGACGCUGAGGUGCGAAAGCUAGGGUAGCGAACGGGAUUAGAUACCCCGGUAGUCCUAGCCGUAAACGAUGGGCACUAAGUAGAGGGGUUUU